rnacentral:rRNA from 1 species
CCUACGGGGGGCUGCAGUCGAGAAUUUUUCACAAUGGGGGAAACCCUGAUGGAGCGACGCCGCGUGGAGGACGAAGGCCCUUGGGUCGUAAACUCCUGUCAUGCGGGAACAAGAAAGUGAUAGUACCGCAAGAGGAAGAGACGGCUAACUCUGUGCCAGCAGCCGCGGUAAUACAGAGGUCUCAAGCGUUGUUCGGAUUCAUUGGGCGUAAAGGGUGCGCAGGCGGCGUGGUAAGUUGAGUGUGAAAUCCUGAGGCUCAACCUCAGAACUGCACUCAAUACUCCCACGCUAGAGGAAUGUAGAGGAGAGUGGAAUUCACGGUGUAGCAGUGAAAUGCGUAGAUAUCGUGAGGAAGACCAGUUGCGAAGGCGACUCUCUGGGCAUUUCCUGACGCUCAGGCACGAAGGCCAGGGGAGCAAACGGGAUUAGAUACCCUAGUAGUC